UACACUGUUGGAACAACUGCUACCAACUCAAUUUAUCUCCUGUACUGUACAUCUCUCUCUCCUGUACUGUAGGGGGACCUUGAGCACCACAAACACUUCCAGUUACACUCUGAUGUGGAGUUUGAUACAGCAGUUCACAGGACAUCACACUGCAGAGACACUCCCACCUGCAACUCUUUAUAUCUCUGCUGUAACGUCACACUUCUCAUCACACAGACUGACGGUGACUCUGGUCUCUAAGUUCAUUUUGCUCAGAACACAAUAAUGAUCACAGCUGGUCUGAUUAAACUCUCUGCAGCUCUGCUCUGUAUUGUAGGUCUAAUUAAUGGGAGUGAUGUCACCCAGACCCCUCUGCUGUGGAGCAAAGAGGGUCAGUCUGCCACAAUGAACUGCAGUCACACUAAGACUGCUAAUUUUAACCAGAUGUACUGGUACAGACAGCUGCCAGGAGAAACAAUGAAACUCAUUGUGUUCACUGUUCCAAACAGUAAACCUGACUUUGAACCAGACUUCAAAAAUGAGAGAUUCUCAGCUACUAAGCCUGACGCUGCCAGUGGGACAUUCACAGUGAAGAAUCUGGAACCAGGAGAUAAAGGCUUGUAUUUCUGUGCUGUGAGUCAACACAGUGAUACAGAUGCACUUGACAGCUGAACAAAAACCUCAGCAAGCUGUUACCAACUGUAUUUAUCUGCUGUACUGUAGGAGGACCUCAAGUACAACACACAACAACUCACAAUAAAGCCACACUCCCACCUGUAACUUACAACACAGAAAUAAACUCUGUUGUAACGUCACACCUUCCAUCACACAGACUGAGUGUCUCUCAUUUUCAUUUUACUCAGAACACAAUAAUGAUCCCAGCUGGUCUGAUCAAACUCUCUGCAGCUCUGCUCUGUAUUGUAGGUACUGUACAUCAUGAGGCCAAGGAUUGAAAGGAGAAGCUGUCACUUUAGCUUUAAAGACAUAAUGAUGAUUUUAUGUUCUGACUGCAUACAGAGGACUCACUGGUGGUUCUGUAACACUUUUUUU